GGGGAUUUAGCUCAGUGGUUAGAGCGCUUGCCUAGCAAGCGCAAGGCCCUGGGUUCGAUCUCCAGCUCCG
rnacentral:tRNA from 1 species